CACAAUAUUGCAGUUUAGAACUAAUCUGCGCAUAAGCUUUUGUCAUUUGUUGGGGAAAUAUCAUGCAACCUUCAUAGAUAUAUAGCCCAGAAUGCUACAUAUUUGGACAUUUUGUGGUGUAAAUGCCUGAAGUAACUAGGAAAAUAAAGCUAACAUUCACAUUUUUAAGGAAAAGGUACAGCAUUGAAGAGGCUUUCAGGGUAGGGCAUAACUGCAUUAUCUGAGCAUUCCCUAGGCUCCCAACCUUAGAUGCUAUCGCGCUGGGGAAACUUGGUGUGCUAGCUCUAAGGAACACCACGGAGCGUAGAGUGGAGUGGAGACACCACGGCUAGGCUCUGUAAUCAGGUGGGGCCUCGAUUGUUCUUGUGCACAAAGCUGCACUUUUUGCCACCCUAAGCCAAAGACCUGUCAUGUUUUGACAAAUGCUGUACCCUAGUGUACUUUUUGCUCAUUAUAAUAUCAUUAUAAUACCAAAACACACCUCCAUCCCAAAAGCUACCCGCCUCCAAGGUGCGACCACCCCUCACUGAGCAUGUGCUCUGAAUUUCUCGGAGCCUAUUACUUUAAAUGGAGACGGGAAAACUUUACACCAAUCAUAACUAAGAUAUGCUUGACUAGAGCCACUCAAGCUCCACCUAAAAGAUAGAAAAUGAUAUAAAUUGGCCCAAGAGAGAGGGGAUGUUAGGGAAGAUACCAUCGUCAGGGGAGAUACCAUCCCGAGGACAUACAACAUCCUUAGGACCUCCUGACUCCUGGGAUCAGUCGACGGGCUGAGCCUCUCUUCCCCCCCCAUUGGGACGCCUUUGGACAUUGUUGACUUUCUGGGAGCUGGUUGAUCCUGUCAUGAAGAAGCAAGAGAGGGUUGAUCUGCAAAGGAUGGGAGCAAGGAGUCAGACUGGCAAAGCAGUGCCUUCACCAACGCAGAUUCAAGCCCAGAGUGCUCCAACCAGAAUGGACCAGGUCCAGAGAGCAUAACCAGGGCAGUCAGGAUCCCAGCUUCUUACAGCCCUGGCAUUUAUUCUGCAUCUGUUGAUAUCAUCAUCCUGUAAUACUUCGAAGAAGGAAGCUCCAUUUCCAAGUCCAGGGAAGAGUGAUUACGAAUUCAGUGUGCCAGCAGAGAAAUUCAGGCAGAGGUCAAGUAUCCUGUAUCCUAUUAAUGUGUGGGACUGCUAUAAGUCAUCCAGAUUUUUUAAGUCAUCUUGGUUCAUCUUCAGGAGAACUUUCAGACACAUCUGGUUUUAGGUUUAAAUUUUAAAAAGACAACUUCCAAAAAAAAAAAAAAAAACCACACCUUUUUUAUAAAUCACACACUGUAACAACCAGAUUUGAGGGAAAAUAUAUUUGUUCCAGAAGCAACUGGUCUAGUGAAAUUCUGUCCACAAUGAAAUGAGCUGCAAAUCUCCAGGUAUCUUCAUAGGAGUGAAAGUUUUACCAGAUUACGAAAAGCUAGUUUAGGAGCUGGAAGAAAGAUCAUUCAAACCUGGCAAUCCCUGAGAAACUACUCUUUCAAACCCAGUGGCAAAACUGAUUAUGAUGGGAUCAAGACAUCAAAUUUGGUCCAUAUGAUAGUUUAUUUAAAAAUAAAUAAAUAAAUAAAUAAAUAAAUAAAUUAUAC
rnacentral:lncRNA from 1 species